GUGCUCGCUUCGGCAGCACAUAUACUAAAAUUGGAACGAUACAGAGAUUAGCAUGGCCCCUGCGCAAGCAUUCCAUAUUUAAAAAAAUAAAUAAAUAAAUAAAA